rnacentral:rRNA from 1 species
AACGAACGCUGGCGGCAGGCUUAACACAUGCAAGUCGAACGCUCCGCAAGGAGAGUGGCAGACGGGUGAGUAACACGUGGGAACAUACCCUUUACUACGGAACAACUCCGGGAAACUGGAGCUAAUACCGUAUGUGCCCUUCGGGGGAAAGAUUUAUCGGUAAAGGAUUGGCCCGCGCUGGAUUAGCUAGUUGGUGGGGUAAAGGCCUACCAAGGCGACGAUCCAUAGCUGGUCUGAGAGGAUGAUCAGCCACAUUGGGACUGAGACACGGCCCAAACUCCUACGGGAGGCAGCAGUGGGGAAUAUUGGACAAUGGGCGCAAGCCUGAUCCAGCCAUGCCGCGUGAGUGAUGAAGGCCUUAGGGUUGUAAAGCUCUUUCACCGGAGAAGAUAAUGACGGUAUCCGGAGAAGAAGCCCUGGCUAACUUCGUGCCAGCAGCCGCAGUAACAC